AGUGAACGCUGGCGGUAGGCCUAACACAUGCAAGUCGAACGGCAGCACAGUAAGAGCUUGCUCUUACGGGUGGCGAGUGGCGGACGGGUGAGGAAUACAUCGGAAUCUACUUUUUCGUGGGGGAUAACGUAGGGAAACUUACGCUAAUACCGCAUACGACCUACGGGUGAAAGCAGGGGAUCUUCGGACCUUGCGCGAUUGAAUGAGCCGAUGUCGGAUUAGCUAGUUGGCGGGGUAAAGGCCCACCAAGGCGACGAUCCGUAGCUGGUCUGAGAGGAUGAUCAGCCACACUGGAACUGAGACACGGUCCAGACUCCUACGGGAGGCAGCAGUGGGGAAUAUUGGACAAUGGGCGCAAGCCUGAUCCAGCCAUACCGCGUGGGUGAAGAAGGCCUUCGGGUUGUAAAGCCCUUUUGUGGGGAAAGAAAAGCAGCAGGUUAAUACCACGCUGUUCUGACGGUACCCAAAGAAUAAGCACCGGCUAACUUCGUG
rnacentral:rRNA from 1 species